rnacentral:rRNA from 1 species
UACGUAGGGGGCAAGCGUUAUCCGGAUUUACUGGGUGUAAAGGGAGCGUAGACGGCUAAGCAAGUCUGAAGUGAAAGCCCGGGGCUUAACCCCGGGACUGCUUUGGAAACUGUUAAGCUAGAGUGCUGGAGAGGUAAGUGGAAUUCCUAGUGUAGCGGUGAAAUGCGUAGAUAUUAGGAGGAACACCAGUGGCGAAGGCGGCUGUCUGGUCUGCAACUGACGCUGAGGCUCGAAAGCAUGGGUAGCGAACAGG